AUAAGCUUUUGUAGGCAACAGCCCACUUUGCCAGGUGACAAAUGAAGUUGUUGUCUAUGAAAGCUUGGGCCUCUCUCAACCAGGUCAGAAAUCAUUACAAAAUAUUAAGGACAUUAUGUUAACAGCUUACUAUGAGCUUACUUGAACUUCCCAUAAGAUAUAUUCCAGACUUCUGAAGAAUUCAGUGGGAGGUUUAGAAUUUUUUCUACAGUAGUAAAGACCCUUGUAUUUCAUAUGUACACAUAACACACAUAUCACUAAAAAUGCAGAGAUACAAGGCAAAAUGUAGAACUGCAAAAUGGUAAAACUCUUUGAAGCUGUCUGCUUACAUCAGAGUUAAGUGUGGCCUGCAAGGUUUACACAGGUUAUUUAUGGAGUAAUCAUAUGAGAGUUUUACAUUCCAGUAAUCCUUUUGGAUACAUGGUGUAUAACUGAGUAUUUAAUGGAAUAAGGACAAAGUUUAUGGGUUGUCAGCUGUGUUUGUUGAGGGAGCAUAGGGCCAUUAGUCCAUGUACUAUGCAUAUUAAGAUACAUAUGGCAAUUUAUGAUCAGUUUUCUGAAAAUGCAUAGAUUUGUGUUUAAUGGUGAUUGUUUUUCAUGUUUUCAAGAUGAAAUCACCCCUACAAAGAGGACCGGAUCAAGGAGGAAUGCUCACUAAAGUUAUAUUUUAAAGAGAAAGAGGUUUUACACAGAGAUGAAAGGCACCGUAAGUGAUAAUUUAUGCAAGAAGAAUGAUGCAUUUUCAAAGCACUACACAGAUGCUUUCACUAAUUCUCAUAGCUGCACUUUGUGAAAAAGUAAGUAGUCCCCUCAUUGUAAGAUAAGGAAACUUUGUUGGAAGAGAAGUUAAAUGACUAACCCAUGGCAGCAGAAGUAGUCAGCCAGGGCUGGAACUCAAAGGGUAUGGCUGUACCACAAACCUACUAUGCCCAGCGAUAAGGUGCUCAAAUCCAUUGUGGUAUAGACAUGCCUCAGGAGAUCUGAUUCUUGGCCCUUUGUCAAAACCAAGGAACAUUUUUACAUGUGAAUUUAGAAGUACCUUCAGCAUUUGCUUCAAUGGAAACCAGAUUUUUACCCCAUAUAUUUAGAUUUACCUAUAAAGUGCAUAACGCACUGUUGACCCUGUAGGAACUACCUACUUUUCAAAAAUAUCUUUUUAAAAUCAAUAUUUUCUAAUAAUAUAUCAACUUAAAUGUUUCCAAAACAACUUUGCCCUAUUUGUGAAUAUUUCUGUGCAUUUAAUAUUUUAUUUCUGGAGUUUUUCAUGUGUAUAAUUUACCUUUGGACUCAGAUAAUGUAUCCCAUAUUUAUGCCUUGAACAAAUUUCAUUGCAGUUCCCUUUAAUUCCACUUUAAUACCACUGGAAAAGGGAUUAAGGUGGAAAUUGCAGUUGGUCCGUAACAAUAACAUGGGAAAUAGGGUGUGUAUGUGUGUGUGUGUGACUCCAGCCUUCAGCCAGCUGUAGUUAUACUGACAUCAAUCUAGUAUGUAAUCAUUAAUACCUCCCUCAGGGAGCACUAGCUGCCAGCAGCUAUUAAACAUACUGUGACCUGGUCUUUUCUCAAGAAGCUGUUGCUCAAUAUUAAUGAUCUCCACAAUUACUUGUCCUGACUCUAAACCUGGUCUGGAAAAGGUUAUUGACAGAGAUGGAGGCUGGCCAAUUUACUUUAUCCAGUCUUAUGGUUCUUUAUGGGUUUUAACUCUGGAUAUGGCAUGGAGGCAGUGCAUGUUGUGCUGACUGAUUGACUGUCUCAAGAUCACAUAUCACUAGCUACAUCCUGAGACUGGGAGCCUGGAACUACUAAUCCUGUACCUAAUAUGGACUGUGCCUGAAGGAAGACAAGAAAUCAUUAUGCCACAUAGACAAUCCUCCGAGAUAUGAAUUGGCUACAAGGAACUCUCCAAGCCCCGACUCCUCCAACUCCUUCUGCAAAUUACCCUGAGAACCUGCAGACAGUUGGUAAGUCCACAGGACAUGGAGAGUUCUGGCAACUGAAAGGAUCAAAUCCUCUCCCUCUUACUGUACCUCACUUCAGUGUACAAUCAACAAGAGGUGGGAGGAUAAGGGAGGAACCAGCUGCACGCCUCACCAUCACUGAAGCUGCCUGGGUUCCUCUCUUCCCAUAAAGGUUUUCAGAGGUUGUACCUGUUGUUUUACUAUGUAUUUUGGUUUUCUUUGGCUAAGAUUGCACCUUGUUCUAACGCUAAACAUUACAUUUACUUCCUCUAAGUAGUCAGCAGGUCUGACUGCACUAUUUUCCCUGUAAAUAUUUGUGACUAAUCAAGUUCUGUGUUGGCAUAACCAUUUACUGCUAUUCACUGAAUGCCAAAAAAACAGAAAGCUGCCAUAGAUUUGCUUAAAGAUUUUAUUGAACCAUAAAAAGAAACCAAACCAAAAACCAUCAAGCAAUUUAUGCAAGCUACUGAACUGGUAGUCCAUGACUCCAAAGUAGAACCAGAAUUGCAUUCAAAUUGGUACUUAAUUCAACAAAGUCUGCCAUCACUCCCCCUAAACCUCAUGUGAGACAAAACACAUCAUGUACCUUAGAAGACCCUUCCCCUCAGAAGUUUUUAUAAAUACAUCAAAUAGGCGAUUCCAAGCUUUGAAACAGCGUAUGUUGCACAUAAUCUGACAGUCCACAAAACAACAUAUGCCUUACCAAGCAAAUACACAUUAAAAUCACCAUGUGUAGCAUAGAAGUGAGAGCAUAUGGCAUCUCUAAUUUCCCUUACUUCCCUUGACCCUGUUCCUUUAUUGUUUAUGAGGUUACUUUGUAGUUGUGGGAAUUGGCUUAGUCUUAGUUCAUGCAAAAAUACUCAUCACUGGCUCUUACAGCCAUUGUGCAGAGCACAGCAGGUCACAGCAAAAUGCAAUUGUCAUCCAAGAGAUUUUGCGGGUACUGUUAUCUGGUCUUCAGGUAUCCAAAUAUACUUUCCACCAACUUCUGUGAUCACUAACAUGGUUCUGUUCAGCCCUAUGUUGUCUGUGUCCAGCUUCAGAAGCCAUGGCAGUUAAGAUAGGUGGGUUCCCAUAAAAUGGUGGUGCCUACCUGUACACUGUUGACUACUGUGUCAUGGAAGAAUAAGGAUUUAACUUGUCCAAAUGUGACAGAACUUUGUACACCUUUCUAGUGCUUUCCACAUCAGUUCAUGAACCUUCCCCUGUGGCCCACCGAGCUUUGCAGCACCUGGGAGUAGGACCACUUGCAGUUAGCAUAUUCAGCAGCUUCUUUAGGGGGCAUGCUAUGGAAACAUAAUCCUUGUUGGGAAAUGCAAUUAUCUGAAAGCCACUUUGAUUUAAGGUACAUUCCUGACACUGACAACAGCAACCAAGGAGUAAGCAGUUUUCAUAACAGCAGUGCAAACCCCCGCCAUCUCCAGCCUGACAGCUGGCUUCCAAUGCUAAACUGGUUAGACUCAGAUCUGUAGUAGUUCUUGAACAGCCAGUUUCCAAACCACAAUAGCAACCUAUUUCCCUAUAGCUAAUGACUGCCUUAGUCAUAGAAUCAUAGAAAAUUAGG